GAUGAACGCUGGCGGCGUGCCUAAUACAUGCAAGUCGAGCGAACGGACGAGAAGCUUGCGUCUCUGAUGUUAGCGGCGGACGGGUGAGUAACACGUGGAUAACCUACCUAUAAGACUGGGAUAACUUCGGGAAACCGGAGCUAAUACCGGAUAAUAUUUUGAACCGCAUGGUUCAAAAGUGAAAAACGUUCUUUCGGUCAGUAAUAGAGGGUUCCGCGCUUGUUUGGGUAGUUGUUAAGGUAACGGCUUACCAAGGCAAGGAUGCAUAGCCGACCUGAGGGGGUGAUCGGCCACACUGGAACUGAGACACGGUCCAGACUCCUACGGGAGGCAGCAGUAGGGAAUCUUCCGCAAUGGGCGAAAGCCUGACGGAGCAACGCCGCGUGAGUGAUGAAGGUCUUCGGAUCGUAAAACUCUGUUAUUAGGGAAGAACAUAUGUGUAAGUAACUGUGCACAUCUUGACGGUACCUAAUCAGAAAGCCACGGCUAACUACGUG
rnacentral:rRNA from 1 species